rnacentral:lncRNA from 1 species
CAUAGCUACCCCAACCAGACACACCUCCACUUUAGCAUGCAUUGAUCUUUGCCCUAUUCUACAAGAUUUUGAUGACGCUUCUAUUAUUUCUCUAGGUAAUUUGAGCUGCUAAAAAUGUGAAUAUUCUGGAAUUCUGUCUUCUGCAUACCAACUCAAAGCCAUUUAACACUCUGGCCUUCCUACUUGGAAGAUGGACGACUUGGAGAUGCCUUGCUGGCAAGGCAGGGGCAUGUAAAAGGAAAACUGUUAUUUCAGCAGACUCGCCACAGAGAAAGGUACCUCAAGAAGCUUGUGCCUUAUCUAAAAAGUGCCCUUUUCAGAAGUGGGACUACUUCUUUCCAGAAGGGCAAACCAGACCAACGUCAGACAAAGAGAAGUUGAGAACCCCAUGCUGCCUAGAAGAAAAGGACUAUUCAGAGUCAAGAGCAUCUCAUCCCUUGUGAAAGUCUGAAGUCUUCCUUCUCUUUCUGAAGACGUUCCCGGGAUUCUCGGGCGGCAGCUCUUUGACUUCUCUUCUUCCCAGGCCUGCUGAACUCGGGUGAUCUCUGUAAGGGUCAUUAUGCAGUUAUUUCAAACCCCACACCUACCCCUGUGUGUUUGCGUGUAGGGUGGUAUAGAUGGGGAGGGCAGCAAAAGGUUUUGAGACAGGUUAUUCUUAUGAUUACUAACAGAAAACACCAGUGACACUUAGAAAUGGC